UACAGAGGUCUCAAGCGUUGUUCGGAUUCAUUGGGCGUAAAGGGUGCGUAGGUGGCGCUGUAAGUCGGGUGUGAAAUUUCGGAGCUUAACUCCGAAACUGCAUUCGAUACUGCGGUGCUUGAGGACUGGAGAGGAGACUGGAAUUCACGGUGUAGCAGUGAAAUGCGUAGAUAUCGUGAGGAACACCAGAGGCGAAGGCGGCUACCUGGACAAUUGCUGACGCUCAGGCACGAAAGCGUGGGGAGCAAAAGGG
rnacentral:rRNA from 1 species